GAAUCAUAAUGGCCGAAAAUCUAAGGUUUCUUGGGGAAGGUUCGUCCGCCCAAGGUUAGUCGGGAGCUAAGCUCAGGCCGAAAGGCGUAGGCGAUGCACAUACGGUAGAAAUUCCGUAACCACCGAACAUUUAAGCUAGAGGGACGCUUUCUUUAAGGUUAUCCCGGGCGAUGGUUGCCCCGGGCGUAAGGGACCGAAAUUUAGUAGGGAAGUAACUGGCGAGAGAGACGAGAAAAGCUCUAGUGUAUACUAAGGUGCCCGUACCGCAAACCGACACAGGUAGAUGGGAUGAGUAUUCUAAGGCCAACGGGAGAAGGGUUGUUAAGGAACUCGGCAAAUUGGCCCCGUAACUUCGGGAUAAGGGGCGCCUGCGAGAGCAGGCCGCAGUGAAAAGGCCCAAGCGACUGUUUAGCAAAAACACAGCUCUCUGCUAAAUCGAAAGAUGACGUAUAGGGGGUGACGCCUGCCCGGUGCUGGAAGGUUAAGGGGAGUGCUUAGCAGCAAUGCGAAGGUGCGAACUUAAGCCCCAGUAAACGGCGGCCGUAACUAUAACGGUCCUAAGGUAGCGAAAUUCCUUGUCAGGUAAGUUCUGACCCGCACGAAUGGCGUAACGAUUUGGGCACUGUCUCAACAGCCCGCCCGGCGAAAUUGUAGUACCGGUGAAGAUGCCGGUUUCCCGCAACUAGACGGAAAGACCCCAUGGAGCUUCACUGUAGCUUGAUAUUGGAUCUCGGUAUUCCAUGUACAGGAUAGGUGGGAGGCUAGGAAGCGAGCGCGCCAGCGUUCGUGGAGCCAACCUUGGGAUACCACUCUUGGGAUAUUGGGAUUCUAACCUGCGACCAUGAAUCUGGUCGGGGGACACUGUCAGGUGGGCAGUUUGACUGGGGCGGUCGCCUCCAAAAGAGUAACGGAGGCGCUCAAAGGUUCGUUCAGCACGGAUGGAAAUCGUGCACUGAGUGUAAACGCAUAAACGAGCCUAACUGCGAGAAUGACGGUUCGAGCAGUAACGAAAGUUGGAGUUAGUGAUCCGGCGGUAUGUGAAUGGAAAUGCCGUCGCUCAACGGAUAAAAGCUACCCUGGGGAUAACAGGCUGAUCU
rnacentral:rRNA from 1 species